rnacentral:rRNA from 1 species
AUACGGAGGGUGCAAGCGUUGUUCGGAAUUACUGGGCGUAAAGCGUGUGUAGGCGGCUUGGUAAGUCAUAUGUGAAAUCCCUCGGCUUAACCGAGGAAGUGCAUCUGAUACUGCCUAGCUUGAGUCCUGGAGAGGGGUGUGGAAUUCCCGGUGUAGAGGUGAAAUUCGUAGAUAUCGGGAGGAACACCAGUGGCGAAGGCGACACCCUGGAUGGAGACUGACGCUGAGACACGAAAGCGUGGGUAGCAAACAGGAUUAGAUACCCUGGUAGUCCACGCCGUAAACGGUGUCCACUAGGCGUAGUGGGUAUUGACCCCCGCUGUGCCGCAGCUAACGCAUUAAGUGGACCGCCUGGGGAGUACGGCCGCAAGGUUAA